UACAGAGGUCUCAAGCGUUUGUUCGGAAUCAUUGGGCGUAAAGGGUGCGUAGGUGGCGCUGUAAGUCAGGUGUGAAAUUUCCGGGAGCUUAACUCCGAAACUGCAUUUGAUACUGCGGUGCUUGAGGACUGGAGAGGGAGACUGGAAUUUACGGUGUAGCAGUGAAAUGCGUAGAGAUCGUAAGGAAGACCAGUGGCGAAGGCGGGUCUCUGGACAGUUCCUGAC
rnacentral:rRNA from 1 species